GGUUAAGCGACUAAGCGUACACGGUGGAUGCCCUGGCAGUCAGAGGCGAUGAAGGACGUGCUAAUCUGCGAUAAGCGUCGGUAAGGUGAUAUGAACCGUUAUAACCGGCGAUUUCCGAAUGGGGAAACCCAGUGUGAUUCGUCACACUAUCAUUAACUGAAUCCAUAGGUUAAUGAGGCGAACCGGGGGAACUGAAACAUCUAAGUACCCCGAGGAAAAGAAAUCAACCGAGAUUCCCCCAGUAGCGGCGAGCGAACGGGGAGCAGCCCAGAGCCUGAAUCAGUGUGUGUGUUAGUGGAAGCGUCUGGAAAGGCGUGCGAUACAGGGUGACAGCCCCGUACACAAAAAUGCACAUGCUGUGAGCUCGAUGAGUAGGGCGGGACACGUGGUAUCCUGUCUGAAUAUGGGGGGACCAUCCUCCAAGGCUAAAUACUCCUGACUGACCGAUAGUGAACCAGUACCGUGAGGGAAAGGCGAAAAGAACCCCGGCGAGGGGAGUGAAAAAGAACCUGAAACCGUGUACGUACAAGCAGUGGGAGCACGCUUAGGCGUGUGACUGCGUACCUUUUGUAUAAUGGGUCAGCGACUUAUAUUCUGUAGCAAGGUUAACCGAAUAGGGGAGCCGAAGGGAAACCGAGUCUUAACUGGGCGUUAAGUUGCAGGGUAUAGACCCGAAACCCGGUGAUCUAGCCAUGGGCAGGUUGAAGGUUGGGUAACACUAACUGGAGGACCGAACCGACUAAUGUUGAAAAAUUAGCGGAUGACUUGUGGCUGGGGGUGAAAGGCCAAUCAAACCGGGAGAUAGCUGGUUCUCCCCGAAAGCUAUUUAGGUAGCGCCUCGUGAAUUCAUCUCCGGGGGUAGAGCACUGUUUCGGCAAGGGGGUCAUCCCGACUUACCAACCCGAUGCAAACUGCGAAUACCGGAGAAUGUUAUCACGGGAGACACACGGCGGGUGCUAACGUCCGUCGUGAAGAGGGAAACAACCCAGACCGCCAGCUAAGGUCCCAAAGUCAUGGUUAAGUGGGAAACGAUGUGGGAAGGCCCAGACAGCCAGGAUGUUGGCUUAGAAGCAGCCAUCAUUUAAAGAAAGCGUAAUAGCUCACUGGUCGAGUCGGCCUGCGCGGAAGAUGUAACGGGGCUAAACCAUGCACCGAAGCUGCGGCAGCGACGCUUAUGCGUUGUUGGGUAGGGGAGCGUUCUGUAAGCCUGCGAAGGUGUGCUGUGAGGCAUGCUGGAGGUAUCAGAAGUGCGAAUGCUGACAUAAGUAACGAUAAAGCGGGUGAAAAGCCCGCUCGCCGGAAGACCAAGGGUUCCUGUCCAACGUUAAUCGGGGCAGGGUGAGUCGACCCCUAAGGCGAGGCCGAAAGGCGUAGUCGAUGGGAAACAGGUUAAUAUUCCUGUACUUGGUGUUACUGCGAAGGGGGGACGGAGAAGGCUAUGUUGGCCGGGCGACGGUUGUCCCGGUUUAAGCGUGUAGGCUGGUUUUCCAGGCAAAUCCGGAAAACUAAGGCUGAGGCGUGAUGACGAGGCACUACGGUGCUGAAGCAACAAAUGCCCUGCUUCCAGGAAAAGCCUCUAAGCAUCAGGUAACAUCAAAUCGUACCCCAAACCGACACAGGUGGUCAGGUAGAGAAUACCAAGGCGCUUGAGAGAACUCGGGUGAAGGAACUAGGCAAAAUGGUGCCGUAACUUCGGGAGAAGGCACGCUGAUAUGUAGGUGAAGCGACUUGCUCGUGGAGCUGAAAUCAGUCGAAGAUACCAGCUGGCUGCAACUGUUUAUUAAAAACACAGCACUGUGCAAACACGAAAGUGGACGUAUACGGUGUGACGCCUGCCCGGUGCCGGAAGGUUAAUUGAUGGGGUCAGCGCAAGCGAAGCUCUUGAUCGAAGCCCCGGUAAACGGCGGCCGUAACUAUAACGGUCCUAAGGUAGCGAAAUUCCUUGUCGGGUAAGUUCCGACCUGCACGAAUGGCGUAAUGAUGGCCAGGCUGUCUCCACCCGAGACUCAGUGAAAUUGAACUCGCUGUGAAGAUGCAGUGUACCCGCGGCAAGACGGAAAGACCCCGUGAACCUUUACUAUAGCUUGACACUGAACAUUGAGCCUUGAUGUGUAGGAUAGGUGGGAGGCUUUGAAGUGUGGACGCCAGUCUGCAUGGAGCCGACCUUGAAAUACCACCCUUUAAUGUUUGAUGUUCUAACGUUGACCCGUGAUCCGGGUUGCGGACAGUGUCUGGUGGGUAGUUUGACUGGGGCGGUCUCCUCCUAAAGAGUAACGGAGGAGCACGAAGGUUGGCUAAUCCUGGUCGGACAUCAGGAGGUUAGUGCAAUGGCAUAAGCCAGCUUGACUGCGAGCGUGACGGCGCGAGCAGGUGCGAAAGCAGGUCAUAGUGAUCCGGUGGUUCUGAAUGGAAGGGCCAUCGCUCAACGGAUAAAAGGUACUCCGGGGAUAACAGGCUGAUACCGCCCAAGAGUUCAUAUCGACGGCGGUGUUUGGCACCUCGAUGUCGGCUCAUCACAUCCUGGGGCUGAAGUAGGUCCCAAGGGUAUGGCUGUUCGCCAUUUAAAGUGGUACGCGAGCUGGGUUUAGAACGUCGUGAGACAGUUCGGUCCCUAUCUGCCGUGGGCGCUGGAGAACUGAGGGGGGCUGCUCCUAGUACGAGAGGACCGGAGUGGACGCAUCACUGGUGUUCGGGUUGUCAUGCCAAUGGCACUGCCCGGUAGCUAAAUGCGGAAGAGAUAAGUGCUGAAAGCAUCUAAGCACGAAACUUGCCCCGAGAUGAGUUCUCCCUGACUCCUUGAGAGUCCUGAAGGAACGUUGAAGACGACGACGUUGAUAGGCCGGGUGUGUAAGCGCAGCGAUGCGUUGAGCUAACCGGUACUAAUGAACCGUGAGGCUUAACCUU
rnacentral:rRNA from 1 species